CCAGCAGCAUAGUUGUUAUAUAUAAACAUUCACAGUAAAGAACAUUUCAGCCCACUAGAAUCUCUAUUCCAAUCUGCCACUGAAACCAUUGCCUGGUCACUAGGGUAAGUGAGACCCUAGCAACCAGUUUACAUUCUCUACCUAGAACGCUGUAGAUGUAGUGUUAGUGUAUGGGGAAUCGGUACAAAUGUAAUGUUGUUGCAGUGGGUAAAAAUAUCCUUUUUUUUGCAGGUUGAGAAGAGACAGAAGACAUCUAUACCCAGUGCAGCCCCACAAGCAGCUACAGUGCAGCCAAUGAUGAUAACAUGGAACCAAAGGAGGAGUCCAGAAAAUCAGAAUCUCUAGAAUGAAGAAGAACCAUUUUAUGAGGAAAUGCUACAGAUUACACAGGAUCAGCAUUCUCAGGGACUCAAACAGUCGAGCUCAGCGCAGUCCAGCAGGAACCUCAGGAACAGGGGACUCGGGAACUUGAGAUCAGAAGGGUCUGGAUCAGCAGAUCCAGAGAUGGAAAGGUCAGCAGGAACAGCCCCAACACAUACCCAAUUCCCCUAUAGAGACAUACCAUUAAAAUGGCAGCAUAGUUAUUUUU